GAUGAACGCUGGCGGCGUGCCUAAUACAUGCAAGUCGAGCGAACAGACGAGGAGCUUGCUCCUCUGACGUUAGCGGCGGACGGGUGAGUAACACGUGGAUAACCUACCUAUAAGACUGGGAUAACUUCGGGAAACCGGAGCUAAUACCGGAUAAUAUAUUGAACCGCAUGGUUCAAUAGUGAAAGACGGUUUUGCUGUCACUUAUAGAUGGAUCCGCGCCGCAUUAGCUAGUUGGUAAGGUAACGGCUUACCAAGGCAACGAUGCGUAGCCGACCUGAGAGGGUGAUCGGCCACACUGGGACUGAGACACGGUCCAGACUCCUACGGGAGGCAGCAGUAGGGAAUCUUCCGCAAUGGGCGAAAGCCUGACGGAGCAACGCCGCGUGAGAGAUGAAGGUCUUCGGAUCGUAAAACUCUGUUAUUAGGGAAGAACAAAUGUGUAAGUAACUAUGCACGUCUUGACGGUACCUAAUCAGAAAGCCACGGCUAACUACGUG
rnacentral:rRNA from 1 species